rnacentral:rRNA from 1 species
AUUGAACGCUGGCGGCAGGCCUAACACAUGCAAGUCGAGCGAGCGGCGGACGGGUGAGUACUGUCUGGGAAACUGCCUGAUAGCGGGGGAUAACUACUGGAAACGGUAGCUAAUACCGCAUACCAUCAGAUGUGCCGAGAGGGGGUUAGCUAGUGGGUGGGGUAACGGCUCACCUAGGCGACGAUCCCUAGCCGGUCUGAGAGGGUGACCAGCCACACUGGAACUGAGACACGGCCCAGACUCCUACGGGAGGCAGCAGUAGGGAAUAUUGGACAAUGGGCGAAAGCCUGAUGCAGCAAUGCCGCGUGUGUGAAGAAGGCCUUCGGGUUGUAAAGCACUGUCAGCGGGGAGGCGUUACCCGCAGAAGAAGCACCGGCUAACUCCGUGCCAGCAGCCGCGGUAAUUC